UGAGGAAUAUUGGUCAAUGGACGGAAGUCUGAACCAGCCAUGCCGCGUGAAGGAUGAAGGCGUUCUGCGUUGUAAACUUCUUUUAUCUGGGAAGAAACCACAGAUUUCUAUUUGUGUUGACGGUACCAGAAGAAUAAGCACCGGCUAACUCCGUGCCAGCAGCCGCGGUAAUACGGAGGGUGCGAGCGUUAUCCGGAUUUACUGGGUUUAAAGGGUGCGUAGGCGGGCUAUUAAGUCAGAGGUGAAAUCUCCGGGCUCAACCUGGAAACUGCCUUUGAUACUAUUAGCCUUGAAUUAUGUUGAGGUUGGCGGAAUAUAACAUGUAGCGGUGAAAUGCUUAGAUAUGUUAUGGAACACCGAUUGCGAAGGCAGCUGGCUAAACAUAUAUUGACGCUGAUGCACGAAAGCGUGGGUAGCAAACA
rnacentral:rRNA from 1 species